AUCAUCAUAUAUUUUUAUUCCAGAUUAAGAGACUACAAAGAUGAAGAAACAAACAGAUUCACAAAUUUACAUACAAGCAUGUCUUGUCUUCCUUGUGUUCAUCUCUAUGACAACAGCAUCUGGUUACCAUGACUACUGUAUUAUUGGUGCUGGACCAGGAGGCCUUCAGUUAGGAUAUUAUUUGCAGCAACAGAAUAGAGACUAUAUUAUUUAUGAACGUACAAAUAUUUCAGGUA
rnacentral:lncRNA from 1 species